rnacentral:hammerhead_ribozyme from 1 species
AUCCAGAUGACGAGUCUCAAAUAGGACAAAACGCGCGUCGAACUGGAU